GAUGAAGAACGUAGCGAAAUGCGAUAAGUAAUGUGAAUUGCAGAAUUCAGUGAAUCAUCGAAUCUUUGAACGCACAUUGCGCCCGCUAGUAUUCUGGCGGGCAUGCCUGUCCGAGCGUCAUUUCAACCCUCAAGCCCCCGGGCUUGGUGCUGGGGAUCGGCGAGCCUCCGCGCCCGCCGUCCCCUAAAUCUAGUGGCGGUCUCGCUGUAGCUUCCUCUGCGUAGUAGCACACCUCGCACUGGGAAACAGCGGGGCCACGCCGUUAAACCCCCAACUUCUGAGCGUUUGACCUCGGAUCAGGUAGGAAUACCCGCUGAACUUAAGCAUAUCAAUAAGCGGAGGA
rnacentral:misc_RNA from 1 species